rnacentral:rRNA from 1 species
UACGUAGGGCGCAAGCGUUAUCCGGAAUUAUUGGGCGUAAAGAGCUCGUAGGCGGUUUGUCGCGUCUGCCGUGAAAGUCCGGGGCUCAACUCCGGAUCUGCGGUGGGUACGGGCAGACUAGAGUGAUGUAGGGGGAGACUGGAAUUCCUGGUGUAGCGGUGGAAUGCGCAGAUAUCAGGAGGAACACCGAUGGCGAAGGCAGAUCUCUGGGCCGUAACUGACGCUGAGGAGCGAAAGCGUGGGGAUCAAACAGG